GAUGAACGCUGGCGGCGUGCCUAAUACAUGCAAGUCGAGCGAACAGACGAGGAGCUUGCUCCUCUGACGUUAGCGGCGGACGGGUGAGUAACACGUGGAUAACCUACCUAUAAGACUGGGAUAACUUCGGGAAACCGGAGCUAAUACCGGAUAAUAUAUUGAACCGCAUGGUUCAAUAGUGAAAGACGGCUUUGCUGUCACUUAUAGAUGGAUCCGCGCCGCAUUAGCUAGUUGGUAAGGUAACGGCUUACCAAGGCGACGAUGCGUAGCCGACCUGAGAGGGUGAUCGGCCACACUGGAACUGAGACACGGUCCAGACUCCUACGGGAGGCAGCAGUAGGGAAUCUUCCGCAAAGGGCGAAAGCCUGACGGAGCAACGCCGCGUGAGUGAUGAAGGUCUUCGGAUCGUAAAACUGUGUUAUUAGGGAAGAACAAAUGUGUAAGUAACUAUGCACGUCUUGACGGUACCUAAUCAGAAAGCCACGGCUAACUACGUG
rnacentral:rRNA from 1 species